rnacentral:rRNA from 1 species
UACAGGGGGUGCAAACGUUGCUCGGAAUUAUUGGGCGUAAAGCGCGCGUAGGCGGCUACUUAAGUCGGAUGUGAAAGCCCUUGGCUCAACUGAGGAAGUGCACCCGAAACUGAGUGGCUUGAGUACCAAAGAGGGUCGCGGAAUUCCCGGUGUAGAGGUGAAAUUCGUAGAUAUCGGGAGGAACACCGGUGGCGAAGGCGGCGCUCUGGACCGAGACUGACGCUGAGGCGCGAAAGCGUGGGGAGCAAACAGG